UACGAAGGGGGCUAGCGUUGCUCGGAAUCACUGGGCGUAAAGCGCACGUAGGCGGCUUGUUAAGUCAGGGGUGAAAUCCUGGAGCUCAACUCCAGAACUGCCUUUGAUACUGGCGAGCUUGAGUUCGGGAGAGGUGAGUGGAACUGCGAGUGUAGAGGUGAAAUUCGUAGAUAUUCGCAAGAACACCAGUGGCGAAGGCGGCUCACUGGCCCGAUACUGACGCUGAGGUGCGAAAGCGUGGGAAGCAAACAGG
rnacentral:rRNA from 1 species